CCUACGGGUGACUGCAGUGGGGAAUAUUGCACAAUGGGGGAAACCCUUAUGCAGCGACGCCGCGUGAGUGAAGAAGUAAUUCGUUACGUAAAGCUCUAUCAGCAGGGAAGAAAAUGACGGUACCUUAGUAAGAAGCCCCGGCUAACUACGUGCCAGCAGCCGCGGUAAUACGUAGGAUCCGAGCAUUAUCCGGAGUGACUGGGUGUAAAGAGUUGCGUAGGUGGCAUAGUAAGUAGCUCGUGAAAUCUGGUGGCUCAACCAUUCAGACUAUUAGCUAAACUGCUAAGCUCGAGACCGUUAGGGGUAACUGGAAUUUCUAGUGUAGGAGUGAAAUCCGUAGAUAUUAGAAGGAACACCGAUAGCGUAGGCAGGUUACUGGGACGGUUCUGACACUAAGGCACGAAAGCGUAGGGAGCAAACGGGAUUAGAUACCCGGGUAGUC
rnacentral:rRNA from 1 species